rnacentral:tRNA from 1 species
AUAUUAAUAGUAUAAACCUAAUACUCCACCUUUCCAAGGUGGUUAUCUCUUAAGAGUUAAUGUA